UCCCCCUCUUAGUCUUACACCUUGGUCACGGGCCUGCAGGAGAAGGGGCCAAAGAAAGGAGGAAGAGAAAUUGAGUUAGGACAUAGAUAGGUAAAGAGACAUAAAUGAGACAGUGAGUACAAUGAAGAAGACCCUGGAUUCGGAACGCUACAGAUCUGAGCUUUAAACCUGAGAGCUGCCAUUGUUAGCUACACGAUCUCAGUUAAGCAGACACUGAACUUCCGGCUCAACUGAAUAGCGAGGGGUGUGUUAUGGAGCAGUGCUUCUCAACCUGAGAUCCCUGGGGGUGCACUUCAUCCAAAAACACCAUAUUUUACUCAAAGUAUCUGUCAGAAGGCAUUGCAAAGAAGACACGGAUUUCCUCUGAGGACAGAUUUGGAAGAUACUGGAGAAGGAAAUCCUCAAAAGGAUGAUACAGUGAUAAAGAGAAAAGGAGAGUUUCAAACAAACAGCCAUCAUUUAAAAAAACAAAAACAAACAUAAGAAAGAAAAGAAAGAGGUGAUGGUGGUUGUAUGUUGUUGAAAAAGAAAGCUUAGAAGAGAAACAGCUGCUUUGAUGAUUGAUAAGGGAGGAAAGGGAAGCUUUCAAUAUCAAGACUCUUCUUUAACAUUCAAGGGGGAAAUGGAAACAGCCAACAUGAAAGCCAGGUUUGGAAGGCAUCUGAUGUCUUAUAUUUUUAAAACAAAACUCACAAGUGGAAUGAUAAAAUUACUCAGUGGCUCUUGCAGAUUUCCCAGGAAGAAGUCAGACUGAAGUCAUGGUGUGUUCUUAACUACAGUGGAAGACUCUGAAGGAUUCCACAAAGCCUGUUGAAGCACUUUCCUCCUGACUUGAGGAGAAGGCGGAAGCACCCUUCUUGCCUAAAGAAAAGGAGACAUAUCCAUAUGUGGACAGAUGAAAGGCAUAGUUAUGGCUUGUAUCUCUUGGAAAGCCUUUAUAUAUGACGAGAUAUUAUUGGGACUAUGAGGUAGGAGCCUUGGCUUAUAUCUGAUCCUGACACUAACUGGCAGAUGAAGCUGGUGCCUGAGUUCGAAUGUCACGUGGAGAGCUGCUUGGCCCUCCCCACAGAGGGACCUGUCCUCAACGUCUCUGCCUGAAGUCAGCUUUCUGGGAAGGAUCAUGGACCAUUCUUACAAGACAGACUUCUCCAGUUUUGAACCAGAGUCCCUCUUCGCAAUAGAACUGUUACAUCAUGACUUAAAGUACCCCUUUCUGCUUAGGCACAUCCAGAGUUUAUAUUUCCAUAGAAUAAUUUUUGAGACCAAAUUACCUGAAUUCAGAAAACCUCUGAAUAAUGAAAUAGCUAUAAUUUCUAUGCCAGACACUGUGCUGGCUUCUCUGUGUAUCAUCUCAUGUACUCCUCACAACUGUAUGAAGGAGGUACUGCUGUCAUCUGUUUGCUGGAUGACACGAUUGAUUCUCAGAGCCCUUAGGAAAUGGACUUGAUGUCACAUGCUCAUAGUAGGUCUGGCUCUGUCAUCUCUACUUUUAUCCACUGCACUGUACGGCCCCCUCUUUCUAAAAUAAAGACUAU